rnacentral:rRNA from 1 species
UACGUAGGGUGCAGGCGUUAAUCGGAAUCACUGGGCGUAAAGGGCGUGUAGGCGGGACAGUAAGUCGGGCGUGAAAUCCCUGGGCUCAACCCAGGAACUGCACUCGAAACUACUAUUCUUGAGUGUCGGAGAGGAAAGCGGAAUUCCUGGUGUAGAGGUGAAAUUCGUAGAUAUCAGGAGGAACACCAGUGGCGAAGGCGGCUUUCUGGACGAUAACUGACGCUGAGACGGCGAAAGCGUGGGAGCAAACAGG